UCCCAGGUGGCUCAGUGGUAAAAGAAUCUGCUUGCCAAUGCAGAAGAAUCAGGUUUGAUCCCUGGGUUGGGAA
rnacentral:tRNA from 1 species